AAACUUAAAGGAAUUGACGGGGACCCGCACAAGCAGUGGAGCAUGUGGUUUAAUUCGAUGCAACGCGAAGAACCUUACCCAGGCUUGACAUGCAGAUGACCGCUCUAGAAAUAGAGUUUUCCUUCGGGACAUUUGCACAGGUGCUGCAUGGCUGUCGUCAGCUCGUGCCGUGAGGUGUUGGGUUAAGUCCCGCAACGAGCGCAACCCUUAUCAUUAGUUGCCAACAGGUGAAGCUGGGAACUCUAAUGAGACUGCCUGGGUUAACCAGGAGGAAGGUGAGGAUGACGUCAAGUCCGCAUGGCCCUUAUGUCUGGGGCUACACACGUGCUACAAUGGUCGGUACAGAAGGCAGCGAAACCGCGAGGUGAAGCAAAUCCAACAAAGCCGAUCUCAGUUCAGAUUGUAGUCUGCAACUCGACUACAUGAAGACGGAAUUGCUAGUAAUGGCGAGUCAGCAACAUCGCCGUGAAUACGUUCCCGGGUCUU
rnacentral:rRNA from 1 species